AACAGAUCAGGGAUCAGGAAUGUGACUGCCCUUGCUCGUUUGCUGGCCCUCCACAUUCACCCAGUCCCUGGGUCUCUCUGCCUCCGUUUCCUCCCUGUUUGGUGAGGAUAAUCACGAAGCACGUCAGGACUGUUGGGUUAGAUGAAGUCAUGCAGGUAAAGCCGCUGUGUAGCUGCGGACAUGUCAGCAUGGCUGGCAGUCUCUGUGCCUGGCUGAGCCUGCUCAGAGCCACAGUGGCCUCCCUGGUGUCUUCCUCCCCUGCUCCCGUCGUGACAUCUGGGACUCUGUCCCCCUGCCGCCCUCCAGGGUCUCCUGCUGCUUCUGCCUGUUUGCUCUCUCCUCGGUCUCCCUGCAGAAGAGCUUCCAAGUGGAGGAGUCACAUGACUGGGGCGGCGCCGUCCAGGAGAGGCAGUAGCCGCGAGUCCAGUGGGUCUCAGGGGAAGCCAAGUCAAAGGGCUGGGGCCUAAGACAACAGGGAUAGGAGUCAACGCACAUCUGUGAGAUGCUGGGGAAGCAGCAUCAACAUGACUUGGGGACCCCCUGGGCCUACAGCUGUCUGCAUGGAAAGGGAGGAAGGAGCCAAGCUGGUGAGCACCCAGCCAGUGUUUUGUGGACAUGAACAGUUCUGUUUCUGGAGAGGGAUCUUCGUUGGGCUUGGGGUCGUCGUUGGGCUUGAUAGAGACAUGUGCUGUCAGACUGUAGAUGUCAUGAGUUUCUGAGGAAAGGUCAGCAUGACAGGCAAGUGACAGACAUCAGAGUCAGUAAAGAUGGAGCGUGGAGAGGUGGGGCCUGGGAGCAGAGAGGAGGGGCCUAGUAGUGGAAGGGUGUGGUCUUGGAGUGGAGAGGUGGGGCCUGGGAGCCGAGAAGGGGGGCCUAGGAGUGGGAGGGUGUGGUCUUAGAGUGGAGAGGUGAGGCCUAGGAGUAGAAGGUAUGGUCUUGGAGUGGAGAGGCAGGGCCUGGGACCGGAGAGGCAGGGUCUCAGAAGACCCCUUUUUGGGAUCCAGAAUCACUAGGAGCAGGGUAAGCUGUGUGGCAUUGGUGCUUGCAUACUGCAGGGAGUUACCUACCAGGGCUGGGCCGGGACUGGCCAGAAUCUUGACAGAUGAAGUUUGACCAGACCAAGUGAGUCCUCAUGGUCUGAUACGUAAGCCAGAUCUGAGUUACCAAUUUGCACCAGGGGCUGUGCUCCCCCAGCGGCUGGCCUGCCCUCCACCAUGUAACCCACUUGCAGCACCUCACCGUAGAUGGGACCGGGCUGGGUGCCCAUUGUAGUCUUCAGCCCAACUCCCCCCGUGGCUGGGCCUAGCAGCUGUGCCUCUCAGGGCCAUAUGUGUCCCCUCAGAUGGGGGUCCUUGAGAGGGGUCAAUGGGUCUGGACAAAGGUCUUAGAUGUGUCGCAGUCAGCCAGCGGGUCUGUGUGUGCGUCCUUCCUCAGAGGGGGCCCCAGCUUCUGCACGGUCAGCUCACGUGCCCCUCCGCAGCCUGGGCACUGCAGGCAGGGGGAGGGGGUGCCACCUCGGCAGUCUGAAGGAACGGCUAGGCAGCCACCUCUGACCACACGUGUGUCCGUGCCAGCGUGGUUAUCUGGGCUGCCUACACGGUUCACACUAACAUCAUGGCUGUUGAUGCCACGUGUUGUGAGGCCUGUGUCAGCUCUUCUCCUGUAUUCCAGGGCAACUCCAACAACAUUGCCACCGUGGACAUCUCCGCAGGCUUCGUGGGCUUAGACACCUACGUGGAAAUCCCAGCCGUGCUCCUGACAGCGUUUGGGACGUACGCAGGGCCUGUGCUGUGGGCCAGCCACUUAGUGCACUUCCUGAGCUCAGAAACACGCAGCGGUUCAGCACUGAGUCAUGCUUGCUUCUGCUACGCACUGGUUUGUUCUAUUCCAGUUUCCACAUAUAUCGUUUUGGUGACAUCUCUGCGUUAUCAUUUAUUUAUAUGGAGUGUAUUUUCUCCAAAACUUCUCUACGAGGGAAUGCAUCUGCUCAUUACAGCUGCUGUCUGUGUAUUCUUCACGGCAAUGGAUCAAACCAGACUCACACAAUCUUAGACUAAGCUGAACACUGGAAAAAUAAUACAUGCGUAAAGUCUGCUGUUAUUCUAAAAGGAAAGAUGUGAUUUCAACAAAGUUGAUGAAUACCUUUCUUUGACUACUGUACCUGAAUUUAGACUAAGCAGUAAAUAGUUUAAUAAAAGAUCACUUUAA
rnacentral:sRNA from 1 species